rnacentral:lncRNA from 1 species
AGGGAUUCUUCUUUUCUCCCGCGAGAAGGAGCACCCAGGAACCGAUUCCCACUAUCCCGAUUCUUUAUCCUGCCAAGAUUGGAUCUGUCGCCGGAGCCAGCACCACAGCAGUUUCGCCGGAGCCGCCGCUUGAGACCACCGCCGUCCACCUAACCCUCACUGUCGUCUUCGUCGGAGCAGCACCGCAGGAAGGCCGCCGUCAACCACCGGAGAAACCCCGCAGCCACCGCAGAGGAGCCACACCGAGCCGCUGCCCUGUUUUCCUCUGCUCGUGGUGAGCAUGCACGCACGAUCUGCUUCGGUAAAUCCCGACGCGAAGUGGCAGUUUGCUAGAACCGGAUUAACCCUAAUUUUGACCUAUUUUAGAUUGGACAGAUUCUAACUAAGAUUUUUAAACAUGUUUAACUUUUAACCGGUAAGCCCGAAUCAGGAAAUUCUUUUUCCUGUGAUACCGUAUUGACGAGUAGAAUAUGAUAGAACCAAUAGUUUUCAGGUUAGCAAUAUUUAAAAUAUUGUGUUGGAUCAGAUUUAGUUUAAACCUAUCGGAGGCCAUAUUUUUCAAACCGAUUCGUCCAAACUAAUUGUUUCCUUUUGCGUUAUGAUCAUAUCAGCAUGUAGAUGAUUUUAUACCUACUACAUGCUACUUUUGUUUUGGUUUUAAAAAUUCUUUUCUCGUUGUUGAUUUUAUUUGGUGUUAUUUGAAUGUGAUGAUUGAUUGUUGUGGUUGUUUGAAACGUGUAGAUUGCCCGGAGUGCGACGCAAACUAUUUGAGGAGUGUGACCUUUUGAUCAAGAAUCAAGGCAACUUACAUGUUGAUCAUCCUUCACCUAUUGUUUUUCUAUGCAUGUAGUACUAUAUCACCGUAUGAAAUUUAUGCAUGUAUAGGAAUAUAAUUAUUAUGCUAUGCUAUUAAGCUAUUUUCCUCGUCAAUGAAGACCGUGUUAGAUAUUGUUUUGCUAUGCUAUGCAGACGGGGUUGGUUCUUGUAUUCAUAGAGUUUAUGUGAGGAUUACUAUAAAAUAAAUUGAGCAGUAAUUAAGGAUAUAACACACAUCCGAGCACAUAUAGUAUUGCUGGGUGGUUUCAAGAACAUCAUGGUUUCAACCCUCUAAAUAUAAGUGGAAUGCCGCCAGGUUCAAGAAGAUCAGACACACUUAGUGACUAGUAGCUUCCGUGCGCAACCACUAGCUAUAUGGGCUCUGUCUUAGUUGAGUAGGUUAUAGAAACCUCGCCUCGGCAAAGCUAGCAGAUGUAGAUAUGAGUAGGUGUACCGGCUGCCGUUGGAUGGAGGUGACUGCUUCGAAAAGACUUCGUCUCAAUCUUCAGGUUGGGUCUAGUGGGUAUAGUGUGCAAACCUCUUAAGAGUGUAAAAACUAAUCAUGAUUAGUCGUGUCAUCGGUUAUGGACAAUUUUGAGCAGCUAGGUCAUUACAGUUGUUGGAUGAUCUUGACAGAUGAGACACCUAAUAAAAUUUGGUGGGAAACUUAAUAAUGGUAAUAGGUUGGAGUUGGAGAUGCCAAUUCAACCAUAUGUGAGUUAUUGUAGCAAACAAAUUAAAACUUGACUAUUAGGUAGUUAUGAGGAUAAAAUCAGCUUUUCUGCAAAAUAACCACCAACCUUCCUUUGUUAUACUAUGCAUGUACAUGUAGGUCUGCUAUAUUAUUCUUCCUGUGUAACUUGCCAAUACCUUCAAAGUAUUGACCUUUAUGGCUGCAACGUAUCAUGUUGCAGGAUAUUCAGACGAGGAGUAAGGUACCGUUAGGGUCGCGAGUCUUCACUCAACAUCGCCAGUGGGCUAUGAUGGGGCUCAUCGUUAUUAUUCUGCUACUUUUCCGCUAUUUGAUAGAAUAAAUCUAGCUAAGUGCUAUGCAGAUUGUUAUACUUUAUAAAUUCUUGAUCAUAUGUUGUAAUAAAUGAUGCUCUUGUUAUUAUGGUAUUCAUCUAUGCUUUGUGUGCUAGCGAGUCGAUCUAGGGACUAGCACAGUAAAGCACAGAGACUCAAAUCCUUUGAGGUUUGAUCGUUACAGAUGGUGUCAGAGCAAUGCUUUGACUGUAGGUCGUGGCCCUAGAAAAUGUAUUAUAA